rnacentral:rRNA from 1 species
GUCUAUGGCCAUGCCACCCUGAACCCAAUCCCGUCUGAUCUCGGAAGCUAAGCAAGGUCAGGCCUGGUUAGUACUUGGAUGGGAGACCAUCUAGGAAGACCAGGUGUUGUAGGCG